rnacentral:rRNA from 1 species
UACGGAGGGUGCAAGCGUUAAUCGGAAUUACUGGGCGUAAAGCGCACACAGGUGGCUGAGUCAGUCGAUUGUGAAAGCCCUGGGCUUAACCUGGGAAUUGCAGUCGAUACUACUCAGCUAGAGUAUGGGAGAGGGUAGUGGAAUUCCCGGUGUAGCGGUGAAAUGCGUAGAUAUCGGGAGGAACAUCAGUGGCGAAGGCGGCUACCUGGCCCAAUACUGACACUCAGGUGCGACAGCGUGGGGAGCAAACAGG